GACAGACACACGGAGCAGGAGGAGCAGGCUGCGCCUCCAGCAAGGGACUGCAUGGCUCGUCCCAGCAGAGGACUUGGAAUGUGAAUCAAGGAAAGAAAACCAGUGCAGUGCCACUCUUGGCCCUGGGCCAGCCUGGUUUGAGCCCUGGAGCAGCACAAAGCCCUGGAGAGAGCCCUUGAGGGAGAAGAACCGGGAGGAGCAGCCCAGGCUGGGCCAGGGAGCAGUGACACCCCCGGGGGCUGGCAGGGGGCUGGGGCAGCCCCUGGGCAAACUCACCCUGCAGGAGGCGCUGGCCCUGCACCGCCCCGAUUUCAUCUCGCGCUCGGGGCAGCGCCUGCGGCACCUGCGGCUGCUCCGCGAGGAGAGGAG